rnacentral:rRNA from 1 species
AGCAGCAGAUUUAACUUUCUGCCACCGAAUACAUUAGCAUGGGAUAAUGGAAUAGGACCCUGUCCUCCUAUUUUCAGUUGGUUUUUGAGGACCAGGGUAAUGAUUAAUAGGGAUAGUUGGGGGCAUUAAUAUUUAAUUGUCAGAGGUGAAAUUCUUGGAUUUAUGAAAGAUUAACUUCUGCGAAAGCAUCUGCCAAGGAUGUUUUCAUUAAUCAAGAACGAAAGUUAGGGGAUCGAAGACGAUCAGAUACCGUCGUAGUCUUAACCAUAAACGAUGCCGACCAGCGAUUAGGAGACGUUGAAUACAAAACACCACCAUCAGACGGCGGAGCAUCUCACGCAAGUGAGGGUGGUGUUUCUCUGCC